rnacentral:rRNA from 1 species
GACGAACGCUGGCGGCGUGCUUAACACAUGCAAGUCGAACGAUGAAGCCUAGCUUGCUAGGUGGAUUAGUGGCGAACGGGUGAGUAAUACGUGAGUAACCUACCUUUAACUCUGGGAUAAGCCUGGGAAACUGGGUCUAAUACCGGAUACGACCAAUCUCCGCAUGGGGUGUUGGUGGAAAGCGUUAUGUAGUGGUUAUAGAUGGGCUCACGGCCUAUCAGCUUGUUGGUGAGGUAACGGCUCACCAAGGCGACGACGGGUAGCCGGCCUGAGAGGGUGACCGGCCACACUGGGACUGAGACACGGCCCAGACUCCUACGGGAGGCAGCAGUGGGGAAUAUUGCACAAUGGGCGCAAGCCUGAUGCAGCGACGCCGCGUGAGGGAUGACGGCCUUCGGGUUGUAAACCUCUGUUAGCAGGGAAGAAGAGAAAUUGACGGUACCUGCAGAGAAAGCGCCGGCUAACUACGUGCCAGCAGCCGCGGUAAUACGUAGGGCGCGAGCGUUGUCCNGAAUUAUGGGCGUAAAGAGCUUGUANNGCGGUUUGUCGCGUCUGCUGUGAAGGCCGGGGCUUAACCCCGUGUAUUGCAGUGGGUACGGGCAGACUAGAGUGCAGUAGGGGAGACUGGAACUCCUGGUGUAGCGGUGGAAUGCGCAGAUAUCAGGAAGAACACCGAUGGCGAAGGCAGGUCUCUGGGCUGUAACUGACGCUGAGAAGCGAAAGCAUGGGGAGCGAACAGGAUUAGAUACCCUGGUAGUCCAUGCCGUAAACGUUGGGCACUAGGUGUGGGGGACAUUCCACGUUUUCCGCGCCGUAGCUAACGCAUUAAGUGCCCCGCCUGGGGAGUACGGCCGCAAGGCUAAAACUCAAAGAAAUUGACGGGGGCCCGCACAAGCGGCGGAGCAUGCGGAUUAAUUCGAUGCAACGCGAAGAACCUUACCAAGGCUUGACAUAUACUGGACCGCAUCAGAGAUGGUGUUUCCCUUCGGGGCUGGUAUACAGGUGGUGCAUGGUUGUCGUCAGCUCGUGUCGUGAGAUGUUGGGUUAAGUCCCGCAACGAGCGCAACCCUCGUUCUAUGUUGCCAGCACGUUAUGGUGGGGACUCAUAGGAGACUGCCGGGGUCAACUCGGAGGAAGGUGGGGAUGACGUCAAAUCAUCAUGCCCCUUAUGUCUUGGGCUUCACGCAUGCUACAAUGGCCGGUACAGAGGGUUGCGAUACUGUGAGGUGGAGCUAAUCCCUAAAAGCCGGUCUCAGUUCGGAUUGGGGUCUGCAACUCGACCCCAUGAAGUCGGAGUCGCUAGUAAUCGCAGAUCAGCAACGCUGCGGUGAAUACGUUCCCGGGCCU